UAAAAGGUCUUUCCCGUGUGUGUUUUGC
rnacentral:sRNA from 1 species